rnacentral:tRNA from 1 species
GGGAUUGUAGCUUAAUUGGUUAGAGUGUUGCCUUGUCACGGCAGAAGUUGCGGGUUCGAGUCCCGUCAGUCCCG